rnacentral:lncRNA from 1 species
CUUCUUCUUCGUGUUCUUCCCUGCAAAUCUAGUUUCUAGAUCUUUUCUUUCUUCCGCGAAACGAAAAUGAGAGAGUGCAUUUCGAUCCACAUUGGUCAGGCCGGUAUCCAGGUCGGAAACGCUUGCUGGGAGCUUUAUUGUCUUGAACAUGGCAUUCAGGUUCGUCUCUUCCUCUCUCUAUCUAGAUCUAUGCUUUUCUCCUAUAUUUUUCGUUGUUUAUAGAUCAGAUCUGAGAUAUUUUAGCGCUGCAUUGACCUUGUUCUUCGGAUUUCUGAUGAAUUCGUAGAUCUAUUGUACCUAAUCGUUUAGAUCUAUGUUUAAUUUUGAUGUCUUGGAUAAUUUUUAUAUGGUUGAUGUUAGAUCCGUUUCUCAUUUCGAAAAUCUGUUUAGAUCUGUGGUUGAUUUCGGUUUAUUGUUAAAUUCCUUUGGUUGAUUCGAGAUCCGUUCGUUUCAAUAUAUUCGUUGAACAAUAAUCCGUGUAGAUUUGUUUAGAAGAUGAAAAUCGAUCUAUUUCCCAUAUUGUUAAGCUUCUCUUUUUUUUAAUCGCUGCUUCUAUAUGCUUAGAUCUUUGGAUCCAAUUCGUUUUGUAUGUCUCUUUGUAUUGAUGUGUUGUUUUGGAUCUGGAAUGCUACAGCCUGAUGGUCAGAUGCCCAGUGACAAGACUGUAGGCGGAGGUGACGAUGCUUUCAACACCUUCUUCAGUGAAACCGGUGCAGGGAAGCACGUCCCACGUGCUGUCUUUGUUGAUCUGGAGCCAACUGUGAUCGAUGAGGUCAGGACUGGUACUUACCGUCAGCUUUUCCACCCUGAACAACUCAUCAGCGGAAAAGAAGACGCAGCUAACAACUUCGCCCGUGGACAUUACACCAGUAAGUUAAUCUUUCCCUUGUUCCAUCAUCAACCACUUUUUAUUGAUUCUACUGUUUUAUUAACUGAUCUGAUUUUUUGAAAUUUUUCUCAGUUGGGAAAGAGAUUGUUGAUCUGUGUUUGGACCGUAUCAGAAAGCUCGCUGAUAACUGUACUGGUCUCCAAGGAUUCCUCGUCUUCAACGCUGUUGGUGGAGGGACUGGAUCUGGUCUUGGAUCUCUCCUCCUUGAGAGACUUUCUGUUGACUAUGGCAAAAAGUCCAAGUUGGGUUUCACUGUUUACCCUUCUCCUCAGGUCUCUACUUCUGUUGUUGAGCCUUACAACAGUGUCCUCUCCACUCACUCACUCUUGGAACACACUGAUGUCUCCAUCCUCCUUGACAAUGAAGCUAUCUAUGACAUCUGCAGACGCUCCCUAAGCAUUGAGAGACCAACCUACACCAACCUCAACCGUCUUGUCUCUCAGGUAUAGUAGCCAGCCUCAUUGAUUUACAUCAGCCUUGUUGCUGUUUCAUUUUCCUGGCUCAUCUAAUGUUUUCGUUCUCUCUUUUUUUUGGUUUCAGGUUAUUUCUUCCUUGACUGCUUCUCUGAGGUUCGAUGGUGCCUUGAAUGUUGAUGUCACUGAGUUCCAAACCAACUUGGUGCCAUACCCAAGAAUCCACUUUAUGCUUUCCUCCUAUGCCCCAGUCAUCUCUGCAGAGAAGGCCUUCCAUGAGCAACUCUCAGUUGCUGAGAUCACAAACAGUGCUUUUGAGCCAGCUUCCAUGAUGGCUAAGUGUGAUCCUCGUCACGGAAAGUACAUGGCCUGCUGUUUGAUGUACCGUGGUGAUGUUGUCCCCAAGGAUGUGAACGCAGCUGUUGGCACAAUCAAGACCAAGCGCACUAUUCAGUUUGUUGACUGGUGUCCUACUGGAUUCAAGUGUGGUAUCAACUACCAGCCACCAACUGUUGUUCCAGGAGGUGAUCUUGCUAAAGUGCAGAGAGCUGUUUGUAUGAUCUCAAACUCCACCAGUGUUGCUGAGGUGUUCUCCCGUAUUGAUCACAAGUUUGAUCUUAUGUACGCCAAACGUGCUUUCGUUCACUGGUAUGUGGGUGAGGGUAUGGAAGAAGGUGAAUUCUCAGAGGCUCGUGAGGAUCUUGCAGCAUUGGAGAAGGAUUAUGAAGAGGUUGGUGCUGAAGGUGGUGACGAUGAGGAUGAUGAAGGAGAGGAGUACUAAGAAGAAGGUUGUGGGUUUUAUGUGGGCUUUCUAUUAUCUCGUGUUUGUGUGAAUGGGCUCGAAACUCUUACGAGUCCUAGUUGUGUUUUUCAAAAACCAUAUUUCUAUCUCUUGCUUGUGGCGGUAGCCAUUUGUUUUCUAUUAUCUAGUUCGUUUGUGUUUCUGGUAAUAUCUCUCAUUUCCAAGAACUGAAUUUAAGAUGGGUGUUUGGC